rnacentral:rRNA from 1 species
UAGCAUAUCAGUAAGCGGAGGAAAAGAAACUAACCAGGAUUCUCCUAGUAACGGCGAGUGAACGGAGAUUAGCCCAUCAUCGAAGUCUAUUCACGUUUGUGAACAGGACAAUGUGAUGUUCGGGUAUGCGCCUGGGAACGUUGGCCUGCUUUAAGUCCAAAUCCGAUUGCGGCUUGGCAUGUUCUCCAUAGAGGGUGAAAGCCCCGUGCUAGCAGGUUUUUUCUGUUCUUUCAACGUUCCCCAGAUGCGCAUGCUAUCGAGUCGGAUUGCUUGAGAAUGCAGUCCAAAGUGGGUGGUAAACUCCAUCCAAGGCUAAAUACUGGCGCGAGUCCGAUAGUAAACAAGUACCGUGAGGGAAAGUUGAAAAGUACUCUGAAGAGAGAGUUAAUAGUACGUGAAACCGCUUGAAGGGAAUCGUAUGGAGUCAAGCUUCGUGCUUGGAAAAUUAUCGUUCGAUCAUUGUUGUGUCAGGAUAUGAGGCAAUGCAACUUGGAAUAAGUUGGACGCAUUCUGUGUGUUACAAGUCGUUCCGGGAAGCCCGUUUGUCUGUGUCUCUAUCUCCUCGAUCGUAUGGGAAUUUUUCUGUGCACAAAUCACGGUCCAUAGCGUUAUGUAUAUUGUGAUUGCCUAACAGUGCCUUUGUCAAUGCAAAUUGGCGGGGUGCUGGAUGGAAGGUGUUCCAACUUGGCUCGUCCRUAGUUGGUAAUUAUGUUAUUCGGUCUAUGACCGUCUGGCAAUCACGAUGCUAUAUCUACGCUAUAGAAUGGUUCAUGUUCGGUGGUCAAUCUAUAUGGUUGGCUGCUUGUCAAGAUCGUGAUUCUGAGGUAGACGUUCCAUAUGACCCGUCUUGA